GAUGAACGCUGGCGGCGUGCCUAACACAUGCAAGUCGAACGAACAGACAGUGAGCUUUUGCUCCUGCCGGUAGCGGCGGACGGGCGAGUAACACGUGGAUCAGCUUCCUCUUAGACUGGGAUAAUUUCGUGAAACCACUUCCACUACUAGAUCAUAUAUCCAACCGCUUGGUUCAAUAGUUCAUCACGGCUUUGCCGUCACUAUUAGCUGAUUCCGGGUCGCAUUAGCUAGUUGGUAAGGUAACGGCUUACCAAGGCGACGAUGCGCAGCCGACCUGAGAGGGUGAUCGGCCACACUGGAACUGAGACACGGUCCAGACUCCUACGGGAGGCAGCAGUGGGGAAUAUUGCGCAAUGGGCGAAAGCCUGACGGAGCAACGCCGCGUGGGUGAUGAAGGUCUUCGGAUCGUAAAGCUCUGUUAUUAGGGAAGAACAAAUGUAGAAGUAACUAUGCCCGUCUUGACGGUACCUAAUCAGAAAGCAACGGCUAACUACGUG
rnacentral:rRNA from 1 species